rnacentral:rRNA from 1 species
AACGAACGCUGGCGGCAGGCCUAACACAUGCAAGUCGAGCAGACCUUCGGGUCUAGCGGCGGACGGGUUAGUAACGCGUGGGAACGUGCCCUUCUCUGCGGAAUAGCCACUGGAAACGGUGAGUAAUACCGCAUACGCCCUUCGGGGGAAAGAUUUAUCGGAGAAGGAUCGGCCCGCGUUAGAUUAGAUAGUUGGUGGGUAACGGCCUACCAAGUCUACGAUCUAUAGCUGGUUUUAGAGGAUGAUCAGCAACACUGGGACUGAGACACGGCCCAGACUCCUACGGGAGGCAGCAGUGGGGAAUCUUAGACAAUGGGCGCAAGCCUGAUCUAGCCAUGCCGCGUGUGUGAUGAAGGUCUUAGGAUCGUAAAGCACUUUCGCCAGGGAUGAUAAUGACAGUACCUGGUAAAGAAACCCCGGCUAACUCCGUG